GCUGGUCUGAGAGGACGACCAGCCACACUGGAACUGAGACACGGUCCAGACACCUACGGGUGGCAGCAGUCGAGAAUUUUUCUCAAUGGGCGAAAGCUUGAAGGAGCGACGCCGCGUGGGGGAUGAAGGGCUUCGGCCUGUAAACCCCUGUCAUUUGCGAACAAACCUUUUCAUUGAACAGGUGGAAAGUUGAUAGUAGCGAAAGAGGAAGGGACGGCUAACUCUGUGCCAGCAGCCGCGGUAAUACAGAGGUCCCAAGCGUUGUUCGGAUUCACUGGGCGUAAAGGGUGCGUAGGUGGUCGGAUAAGUUCGAUGUGAAAUCUCCGGGCUUAACUCGGAAAUGGCAUUGAAUACUAUUCGGCUAGAGGGUCGGAGGGGAGACUGGAAUUCUCGGUGUAGCAGUGAAAUGCGUAGAUAUCGAGAGGAACACCAGUGGCGAAGGCGAGUCUCUGGACGACUCCUGACACUGAGGCACGAAAGCUAGGGGAGCAAACAGGAUUAGAUACCCUGGUAGUCCUAGCCCUAAACGGUGCAUAUUUGCCGUGAGAGGAUUCGACCCCUCUCGUGGCGAAGCUAACGCGUUAAAUAUGCCGCCUGGGGAGUACGGUCGCAAGAUUAAAACUCAAAGAAAUUGACGGGGGCCUGCACAAGCGGUGGAGUAUGUGGCUCAAUUCGAUUCAACGCGAAGAACCUUACCUGGCCUUGACAUGCACCUAGUAGAAGGGUGAAAGCCUGACGAGAUAGCAAUAUCAGGGUACACAGGUGCUGCAUGGUGUCGUCAGCUCGUGUCGUGAGAUGUUGGGUUAAGUCCCGCAACGAGCGCAACCCCUGUGUCCUGUUGCCACCCGGAUGAGAAUCCGGAGCACUCUGGACAGACUGCCUCGCUUAAACGAGGAGGAAGGUGGGGAUGACGUCAAGUCAGGAUGGCCCUUACGGCCAGGGCUGCACAGGUACUACAAUGGCAGACACAAAGGGACGCAAGACCGCAAGGUGGAGCAAAUCCCAGGAAGUCUGCCCCGGUUCAGAUUGUCGGCUGCAAUUCGCCGGCAUGAAGUUGGAAUCGCUAGUAAUGGCGCAUCAGCUACGGCGCCGUGAAUACGUUCCCAGGCCUUGUACACACCGCCCGUCACAUCAUGAAAGCCACUUGUACCCGAAGUCGUUGUGGUAACCGCAAGGAACUAGACGCCGAAGGUAUGGACGGUGAUUGGGAUGAAGUCGUAACAAGGUA
rnacentral:rRNA from 1 species